GACGAACGCUGGCGGCGUGCCUAAUACAUGCAAGUCGAGCGGUUCCUUCGGGGAUAGCGGCGGACGGGUGAGUAACACGUAGGCAACCUGCCUGGAAGAUCGGGAUAACUAUCGGAAACGAUAGCUAAGACCGGAUAACUGAUUUUCCCGCAUGGGGAAAUCAUGAAACACGGAGCAAUCUGUGGCUUUCAGAUGGGCCUGCGGCGCAUUAGCUAGUUGGUGAGGUAACAGCUCACCAAGGCGACGAUGCGUAGCCGACCUGAGAGGGUGAUCGGCCACACUGGGACUGAGACACGGCCCAGACUCCUACGGGAGGCAGCAGUAGGGAAUCUUCCGCAAUGGACGCAAGUCUGACGGAGCAACGCCGCGUGAGUGAAGAAGGUUUUCGGAUCGUAAAGCUCUGUUGCCCUAGACGAAAAGCAAGGAGAGUAACUGCUCCUUGUGUGACGGUAUAGGAGAAGAAAGCCCCGGCUAACUACGUGCCAGCCGCCGCCGUAACAC
rnacentral:rRNA from 1 species